rnacentral:rRNA from 1 species
GACGAACGCUGGCGGCGUGCUUAACACAUGCAAGUCGAACGGAAAGGCCCUGCUUUUGUGGGGUGCUCGAGGGGCGAACGGGUGAGUAACACGUGAGUAACCUGCCCUUGACUUUGGGAUAACUUCAGGAAACUGGGGCUAAUACCGGAUAGGAGCUCCUGCUGCAUGGUGGGGGUUGGAAAGUUUCGGCGGUUGGGGUUGGACUCGCCCCUUAUCAGCUUGUUGGUGGGGUAGUGGCUUACCAAGGCUUUGACGGGUAGCCGGCCUGGGAGGGUGACCGGACCCAUUGGGACUGGGAUGCGGCCCAGACUCCUACGGGAGGCAGCGGUGGGGAAUAUUGCACAAUGGGCGGAAGCCUGAUGCAGCACCGCCGCGUGCGGGAUGACGGCCUUCGGGUUGUAAACCGCUUUCGCCUGUGACGAAGCGUGAGUGACGGUAAUGGGUAAAGAAGCACCGGCUAACUACGUG